AGCAAAUUAGGGUAUGAAUCAUGCCACCAACUCCUAAUCCAAAUAUUACCUUGUUUUACAAAUCCAUACUUGCUAUCUACUCAAAGCCAGAAGUAAAAUCACGUGAGUCUGGUCCAUGAAAUCUCAUUACUGAGAACACAAAGAACUAACACUAAUCCACUAAAAGUCUAUACGGAAACAUGGGAAUAAGCACAUAAAGUAUUAACUGGGCAUACAAAUAGAGAUCAUCAAGGGGUACAA
rnacentral:lncRNA from 1 species